CAAAGUCAAAUUUGUAUGGAGUUGGAACGUUUGCCUACGUUUGCCGCUAGGGGCGCUGUUCCAUUUGCAAACAAAUUCGAGUUA
rnacentral:pre_miRNA from 1 species